ensembl:processed_transcript si:ch211-147m20.3 si:ch211-147m20.3
UAUGGAUCGUUACGUUUAGAUGUAUGCAGAAGCUGUUGCGGUGAAAUAGUUUCUCACUACUAGAAUCUACCAAAAUAAAGCUAUCAAAAGAGUUAAUGAGGAUAAGGUGUUUGUUUCGUUAUCUGUUUAGAUGACCUCACACUUAUCUUGGGUCAGCCUCCAUCCCACCUUGAGGGUGUUCAACUGAAGAGAUUCUCCUGUCCCUGCUGAAGUGUCUUCUCUUUAUCACCACCCAAUGGUGAAGCUGCUGUAUGGGUCCACUGAACAUCAAAUAUGGAAGAAACGUCUUUUUGCAACAGCAUGGCUCCCUGUAUGAUGCAUCUUGAAGAAUGCUCAACAACCGUAAGAACAAAGAGAAACUGUGAGUGUGCAUUGCUGCUAGUCUGUGUGCUUGUUGAAAUGUCAAUGAUGAUUUACUGCAGAGGUCAUUUGAGGUGCAUGUUUUAAAGGUACUGUGGGAGACUUUGUAAAGAUUCUCAUUAUGUUUUUGAUGCAACCUGAUUUCAUAUGUUUUUUUCCUGAGGUGAGUCUAGGUAAAUUUUGUGGGUAAAAUACAGCCAUCAAAAUAUCAACCAAAAGCCCUGCACUUUGAAAAUUGUAAUGGGGUUGAAAAGUUCUAUUUUAAAGAAUAUUGAUACAACCAUUCAUCAUUGAUAAAACAAUUUAUUAUAGCAAAUAUAAUGUCAAAAAAAAAAAACUAAAACAUCACAUAAAUUGUGCAAAUUGUUUUUAAACCAGACCUACUGUACAUGGGCUUUCUAAAUAUUUUUGAACAACAAAAAUAUAUCUCAAACUUUUUGUAGGAUAUUUACAGUAAUUAUUUUGUAAUUGUCAUGAUUUAUAUAUAUAUAAAAGUUUAUAUGGAAAACGAGAUACAUUUUUAAAGAACAUUUAUGACUUUAUAAACACUAUUAAUAUACAGAAUGCAUUUGCC